rnacentral:tRNA from 1 species
UCUGGUUAGCUCAAUUGGUAGAGCGCACUACUGGAAAUGGAGAGGCCCCUGGUUCGAUACCAGGACAGUG